GUUGAGGCUCAUUCUAGGUUGCAGGGACAACAAAUCACUUCUAGAAAGAAGUUGCAAUUCAUUGCGCCAACUUGCUCACGUCAACCGGGAAGCUAUGAGUGUGGAUAUUAUACCAUGAGGCACAUGCAUAGAAUCAUAUCCGCAAACAUUGUUGACUCAUGGGAUAUGAUUUUCAAUGACACAUCUCCAAUGGAU